rnacentral:rRNA from 1 species
AACGAACGCUGGCGGUAUGCCUAACACAUGCAAGUCGAACGAGACCACCGUGACUAGUGGCGCAUGCGGGCGUAACGCGUGGGAACCUGCCCUAAUACUCGGGAAUCCUCCCCUACAUGGGUGCUAAUACCGGAUAACUUCCUCGGAUCAAAUAUUGAUCGCCUUUGGGUGGGCCCGCGUUGUUUUAGCCUGUUGGGAGUGGAAAAGCCGACGAAGGCGAGGCUCCAUAGCUGGUCUGUGAGGCUGAUCAGCCACACUGGGAAUCGGACACGGCCCAGACUACUACGGGAUGCAGCAGUGGGGAAUAUUGGACAAUCGGGGAAGGCCUGAUCCAGCAAUGCCGCGUGAGUGAUGAAGGCCUUAGAGUUGUAAAGCACUUUUACCCGGGAUGAUAAUGACAGUACCGAGAGAAUAAGCUCCGGCUAACUCCGUG